AAAUUGAAGAGUUUGAUCAUGGCUCAGAUUGAACGCUGGCGGCAGGCCUAACACAUGCAAGUCGAGCGGAAACGAGUUAUCUGAACCUUCGGGGAAGGAUAACGGCGUCGAGCGGCGGACGGGUGAGUAAUGCCUAGGAAAUUGCCCUGAUGUGGGGGAGUAACCAUUGGAAACGAUGGCUAAUACCGCAUGAUGCCUACGGGCCAAAGAGGGGGACCUUCGGGCCUCUCGCGUCAGGAUAUGCCUAGGUGGGAUUAGCUAGUUGGUGAGGUAAGGGCUCACCAAGGCGACGAUCCCUAGCUGGUCUGAGAGGAUGAUCAGCCACACUGGAACUGAGACACGGUCCAGACUCCUACGGGAGGCAGCAGUGGGGAAUAUUGCACAAUGGGCGCAAGCCUGAUGCAGCCAUGCCGCGUGUGUGAAGAAGGCCUUCGGGUUGUAAAGCACUUUCAGUCGUGAGGAAGGUAGUGUAGUUAAUAGCUGCAUUAUUUGACGUUAGCGACAGAAGAAGCACCGGCUAACUCCGUGCCAGCAGCCGCGGUAAUACGGAGGGUGCGAGCGUUAAUCGGAAUUACUGGGCGUAAAGCGCAUGCAGGUGGUUUGUUAAGUCAGAUGUGAAAGCCCGGGGCUCAACCUCGGAAUUGCAUUUGAAACUGGCAGACUAGAGUACUGUAGAGGGGGGUAGAAUUUCAGGUGUAGCGGUGAAAUGCGUAGAGAUCUGAAGGAAUACCGGUGGCGAAGGCGGCCCCCUGGACAGAUACUGACACUCAGAUGCGAAAGCGUGGGGAGCAAACAGGAUUAGAUACCCUGGUAGUCCACGCCGUAAACGAUGUCUACUUGGAGGUUGUGGCCUUGAGCCGUGGCUUUCGGAGCUAACGCGUUAAGUAGACCGCCUGGGGAGUACGGUCGCAAGAUUAAAACUCAAAUGAAUUGACGGGGGCCCGCACAAGCGGUGGAGCAUGUGGUUUAAUUCGAUGCAACGCGAAGAACCUUACCUACUCUUGACAUCCAGAGAACUUUCCAGAGAUGGAUUGGUGCCUUCGGGAACUCUGAGACAGGUGCUGCAUGGCUAGUCGUCAAGCUCGUGUUGUGAAAUGUUGGGUUAAGUCCCGCAACGAGCGCAACCCUUAUCCUUGUUUGCCAGCGAGUAAUGUCGGGAACUCCAGGGAGACUGCCGGUGAUAAACCGGAGGAAGGUGGGGACGACGUCAAGUCAUCAUGGCCCUUACGAGUAGGGCUACACACGUGCUACAAUGGCGCAUACAGAGGGCGGCCAACUUGCGAAAGUGAGCGAAUCCCAAAAAGUGCGUCGUAGUCCGGAUUGGAGUCUGCAACUCGACUCCAUGAAGUCGGAAUCGCUAGUAAUCGUGGAUCAGAAUGCCACGGUGAAUACGUUCCCGGGCCUUGUACACACCGCCCGUCACACCAUGGGAGUGGGCUGCAAAAGAAGUAGGUAGUUUAACCUCGGGGGACGCUUACCACUUUGUGGUUCAUGACUGGGGUGAAGUCGUAACAAGGUAGCGCUAGGGGAACCUGGCGCUGGAUCACCUCCUUAAACGAUGAU
rnacentral:rRNA from 1 species